rnacentral:rRNA from 1 species
UACGUAGGGGGCAAGCGUUGUCCGGAUUUAUUGGGCGUAAGGCGCGCGUAGGCGGCAAGGUAUGUCGUGCGUGAAAUCUCCCGGCUUAACUGGGAGGGCCGUGCGAAACUGCCUGGCUUGAGGUCGGAAGGGGAAAGUGGAAUUCCGGGUGUAGUGGUGGAAUACGUAGAUAUCCGGAGGAACACCAGCGGCGAAGGCGGCUUUCUGGUCCGAUUCUGACGCUGAGGCGCGAAAGCGUGGGGAGCGAGUCCGG